rnacentral:rRNA from 1 species
CGCCAGACUCCUACGGGAGGCAGCAGUGGGGGAUAUUGCACAAUGGGGGAAACCCUGAUGCAGCGACGCCGCGUGGGCGAAGAAGUAUUUCGGUAUGUAAAGCCCUAUCAGCAGGGAAGAAGAAAUGACGGUACCUGAGUAAGAAGCACCGGCUAAAUACGUGCCAGCAGCCGCGGUAAUACGUAGGUGGCAAGCGUUGUCCGGAUUUACUGGGUGUAAAGGGCGUGUAGCCGGGCUGACAAGUCAGAUGUGAAAUCCGGGGGCUCAACCCCCGAACUGCAUUUGAAACUGUUGGUCUUGAGUAUCGGAGAGGCAGGCGGAAUUCCUAGUGUAGCGGUGAAAUGCGUAGAUAUUAGGAGGAACACCAGUGGCGAAGGCGUCUUACUGGACCGAAACUGACGUUGAGGCUCGAAAGCGUGGGGAGCAAACAGGAUUAGAUACCCCAGUAAAG